GACCGGGGUGGUACACCUGUCCAAUGGUCACACAGGUGUCUUAAGGCAAGCUCGGGGAGGACAGAAGCCUCCCGUGGAGCAGAAGGGCAGAAGCUUGCUUGAUUUGGAAACUCAGCUCAAAGGCAAACCCAAA
rnacentral:ncRNA from 1 species